UACCAUGAAACCAAACAAAACACCCCGUUAAAUUAA
rnacentral:rRNA from 1 species